CUGACGGCUAUACACUUAAAAAUAGCAAAAUGUGUACCUUGCAGACCACACUCAAAAUUAUUGUGUAUUCCAAAUUUGAAAGUAUUUUCCAUAUUACAUUACCCAUUAUACGAAAUUCAUUGUGCUAGAUAGCAUUUUCGUCAGUUCGACACUUCACUCUUUAUCAGGAAAAUCCAUAUGAAAACGCAAUAAAGAACGCAAUAUGGCACGGAAUACAGGAGGCAUCUUUUAUUCGCCAGCUCAUCGGCGUCUUCGGCGUAUUGGAACGCGCUCAAUAGAAGCUCAAGAUUCCAUUCCCUUGCUCUCGUCGUUUCGCUCUUCGAAGAUCAAAAUUCAGUAUAUAUGUACGCCUUUCUUCCACCUGAUUGUCGCGUUCAGUAAUUUCCCGAAGAUCGAUUGUGGCGCCGUUAAAAGAAGCUCCCAUUAAAAAUGUAUCAGAGUCUUUCUGUGCUUGCUUGUGAUUUUUGUUGGAGAUUUUUUUCUUUUACAACGAAGAGGUAUUGAAAACAAACAGAGCAGAC